rnacentral:rRNA from 1 species
AGUGAACGCUGGCGGUAGGCCUAACACAUGCAAGUCGAACGGCAGCACAGUAAGAGCUUGCUCUUACGGGUGGCGAGUGGCGGACGGGUGAGGAAUACAUCGGAAUCUACUUUUUCGUGGGGGAUAACGUAGGGAAACUUACGCUAAUACCGCAUACGAACUACGGGUGAAAGCAGGGGAUCUUCGGACCUUGCGCGAUUGAAUGAGCCGAUGUCGGAUUAGCUAGUUGGCGGGGUAACGGCCCACCAAGGCGACGAUCCGUAGCUGGUCUGAGAGGAUGAUCAGCCACACUGGAACUGAGACACGGUCCAGACUCCUACGGGAGGCAGCAGUGGGGAAUAUUGGACAAUGGGCGCAAGCCUGAUCCAGCCAUACCGCGUGGGUGAAGAAGGCCUUCGGGUUGUAAAGACCUUUUGUUGGGAAAGAAAAGCAGCAGGUUAAUACCCCGCUGUUCUGACGGUACCCAAAGAAUAAGCACCGGCUAACUUCGUG